CUACGGGUGGCUGCAGUGAGGAAUUUUGCGCAAUGGGGGCAACCCUGACGCAGCAACGCCGCGUGAGUGAAGAAGGCCUUUGGGUCGUAAAGCUCUGUCAACAGGGAAGAAGUUAUAAUUAUUUAAUAGAUAAUUGUAUUGACGGUACCUGUGGAGGAAGCGCCGGCUAACUCCGUGCCAGCAGCCGCGGUAACACGGGGGGCGCAAGCGUUAUUCGGAAUUAUUGGGUGUAAAGGGCGCGCAGGCGGUCUUGUCCGUCAGGUGUGAAAGCUCGGGGCUCAACCCCGGAAGUGCACUUGAAACAGCAAGACUUGAAUACGGGAGAGGGGAGAGGAAUUCCUGGUGUAGAGGUGAAAUUCGUAGAUAUCAGGAGGAACACCGAUGGCGAAGGCAUCUCUCUGGACCGAUAUUGACGCUGAGGCGCGAAGGCGUGGGUAGCGAACGGGAUUAGAUACCCCUGUAGUC
rnacentral:rRNA from 1 species